AGAGAAAACUCUGCAGAAAAUAUUCUUCUUCCUAUUAAAUGUUUUUUUUCUUUCUUUCUCAAUUUUUCUUUUCUUUUCAUUGUCAUUAUAUGGGUGAUAACAAUCUUUUUCGUCAAGAUUGAUAGAAAUUCUCCAUAGGUUGUGGUGGAUUUCCAACAUCUGGUAUUAAGAGCUCCGGUUUAAGCGAUUCGUGGGAAUAACAUCACGAUGUCAAUGAAU
rnacentral:lncRNA from 1 species